GUGUCCUCAAGGUGAUCCAGACAGGCUGGACCAGAGGAGGAGAGACAGAUCUGGAGUCCUAACAGCAGAGAACUUCAGCACGGAUUCCAAAGAAAGGACAUGCCUGAGAGACAGGACUGCUUCACCAUGUUCUCUUUCUCUGAGGGUCCAGAAGAACAUCCAAGAGGGAAAGGAGAAGCUGAUGUGAUGAGAUUUAAGAGCAGUACAGGACAUUAAGAGACAGCGAAUAGUUUUGUAGUCCAACAGGAACUUUAUUUGUGUGUUGUUUUGUGUUUUACGUUGCACCUCAGAGACAGUGUGAUUAUUGUCAGGCCUAUAAAGUUUGGCAAAAAAAAAAAGUCAGCUGAUCAAA